GGUGAAUUUCUUCAUUUAAAAAUCCUGCUGAACCUUUAGGUGAACAGAUAUGGAUGUGGCAGUCUGGAAAAUGUGAGAUCCUGCAGUGGUCAAAUUUGCAUUUGAAAAUUUUGAAGAAGAUUCUGAAAAUAAGAAAUGGAGAGAAACCUGCAAAAUAUGUCGCACAUUAAUAAGUGAAGCACGUGGUACAACAUCAUCAUUCAAUAGAGCACCCCCACUAUUUUCAGAAGCACCCUCAGUGAUUUUGAUCUGGAACCAGGCCUGGGCCUGUACUCUGGAGCAGGAUCGAUUUGGAGGCAGAGGGUCUGUCAUGGUCUGGGGCAGUGUGUCACAGCAUCAUCGGACUGAGCUUGUUGUCACUGCAGGUUCUGUGCGUGAUUUCCUGCAAGACAGGAAUGUCAGUGUUCUUCCAUGGCCAGCGAAGAGCCUGAAUCUCAAUCCCAUUGAGCACGUUUGGGACCUGUUGGAUUGGAGGGUGCGUGCUAGGGCCAUUGCCCCAGAAAAGUCCAGGAACUUGCAAGUGCCUUGGUGGAAGAAUGGGGUAACAUCUCACAGCAAGAACUGGCAAAUCUGGUGCAGUCCAUGAGGAGGAGUUGCACUGCAGUACUUAAUGCAGCUGAUGGCCACACCAGAUACUGACUGUUACUUUUGAUUAUUGUUUUUUUUUUUUUUUUUGUAGAAUCAUGAUUUCUGCAUGCAAAUGUUCAUACACAGGUUUCAAGCACAAACUAUGCAUGGUUAGUGAAUUAGACCCACUGUUCUGAGAUCAUUUUUCAAUAUACUGUAAUUACUGUUUAAAAAUCAAAUCACAACAUUUUAAACUUAAUUAUCUGAGUUUAUGCUUUUAACAUUUUAAUUGAUCUAUAAAUAAAUAACAAAACCUUGAUUUCAGGAGAGUCAUUGCUGAAAGAUGCAGUGAAAGUUCUUCAUGUUGAAGACAGUGAAGUUUAUUUUGAGGAAUGCACAUUGACUCGAUUUCAUGCCAAGCUUCUGGACCACAGCUUUUCACCUAAAGGACUUCUUGU